rnacentral:tRNA from 1 species
AUUUAAAUAAUUUAAAUAAAAUAUUGAUUUGUGGUGUCAAAAAUAUGAGAAAUAUCAUUUUAAAUU